rnacentral:rRNA from 1 species
ACCCGCGCCCCAAGUGGUGGUCGAUAUUAUUGAGCCUAAAACGUCCGUAGACGGUCUUCUAAAUCCUUGGGUAAAUCGGGCAGCUUAACUGUCCGAAGUCCGGGGAGACUGGGAGACUUGGGACCGGGAGAGGUCAGAGGUACUUCUGGGUCAGGGGUAGAAUCCUGUAAUCCUGGAAGGUCGGCCGGUGGCGAAGGCGUCUGACUGGAACGGAUCCGGCGGUGAGGGACGUAUCUGUGGGGCGCAAACGG